GAGCCGAUCUUUUCUUUUUUUUUCUUUUCUUCUUCCUGGGUCAUCUCCUCUCUCUCUCUUAAACAUUCAACAAACCCUCAUCGUUCAAAUGCAAAAUCGAAGGUCAAGACUCGAAAAUGUCGCAACAAGGCAAGAAGAAAACGUGAUCUACGGACAGAGGGCUACGCAUCUAUCCGAACAAAAUCUUGAUCGGCUAACUUUGGAGUUCUUAGCAAAUUCGGAGGUUUUCAUUUUUGAGGUAAGGCGGUGGAUCCGAAGACAUGAUAGCGUUUGAUUUGUUUUUUUUUUUUUUUGAGCUCUCGUGCUCGGGUCUUGCAAGAUCGGGGCGUGACAAGAAUUGAUGUUCUGUCAUAGGCACGGUGUUAUAUUGAUGGAUUAGAAAUGGAAAUGUGGAGGAAAGGAAUGAAAUUUAUUACUGCUAAUAAGAAGCAGUGAAUCA